rnacentral:rRNA from 1 species
ACGGAGGGUGCAAGCGUUGUCCGGAUUUAUUGGGCGUAAAGCACGUGCAGGCGGUCUGGUAUGUCGGGUGUGAAAUCCCGGGGCUUAACCCCGGAACUGCGCUCGAAACUGCCAGUCUUGAGUUCAGAAGGGGGAGAUGGAAUUUCCGGUGUAGGGGUGAAAUCCGUAGAUAUCAGGAGGAAUACCAGUGGCGAAGGCGAUAUCCUGGUCUGUUACUGACGCUCAGACGGGAAAGCGUGGGUAGCAAACAG